rnacentral:lncRNA from 1 species
AUGGGCAAAGGAGAUCCCAAGAGGCAAAAAUGUCAUUAUACGCAUUCUUUAUGCAUACUUGUCAGAAGGAGCACAAGAAACAGCACCCAGAUGCUUCUGUCCUCUUCUCAGAUUGUUCCAAAAAGUGCCAGAGAGGUAAAGGACCGGGUCUGCUAUAAAGGAAAAUUUGAAGACUUGGCAAACUCAGGCAAAAGACCCAUUAUGAAAGAGAAAUGAAAACCUAUAUCCCUCCAGAAAGAGAGGCAAAAAAAAAAAAAAAGCCCAAGAGGCCUCCUUUGGCUUUUUUCUUGUGUUCUGAGUAUUGCCCCUGAGUCAAAGGAAAAUAUCCCGGCCUAUACAUUGGUGAUUUUGCAAAGAAACUGGGAGAGAGGUGGAAUGACACUGUUGCAGAUGACAAGCAGCCUUAUGAAAAGAAGGCUGCGAAGCUGAAGGACAAAUAUGAAAAGGAUAUUGUAGCAGACUGAGCUAAAGGAAAGCCUCAUGCAGCAACAAAGGGAAUUGCCAAGGCUGAAAAAAAAAGAAAAAAAGAAGAGGAGGAUGAGGAGGAAGGAGAAGAAGAAGAUGAUGAU